UUGAGCUGAAGAGCUCAGAGACCAGCCCCUAGGCCCAGAGUUCAAGACCCACGACUGACCAAAAACCAAAAACCUGAGUUGACUCACUGAAGUGACUCACUAUGGUCCUAUAAUGCUGGUGAGAGAGCCAGUGGUGAGCCCAGCCAGUUUAGCACCAGUCUGCCAUUUAUCCCUACACUGUGCUACCUUCUCAAAGAAAACCAAACUAAGUAAGGAAAGUCCUGGGAGGACAGAACCUUAAGGCUCAUUCCCUAGCAGGAAGAAGGGAACUGCAAAAGUUGAAAACAUAAAAAAAAAGUAUCAAGAUGGAAUAAACCAUAUUAACAUCUCAGAGAAACAAGGCCAAGCAAGGACUGUUGACCUGCUCAUCAUGAUUACUUCAAAGGAAGAAAGAGAGGUUUAAAGUAAACAAAAGACAGGAAGGCACCAAGUCCACUCCAGCAACAGGAUUGGUAGCAAAACCAGAGAAAAGCCUGAUAACAACUCUACCAAGGAACACACUGGAAGAUGUCAGCUAGCAAUAAACAUCACCUGGUUUAGAAGGUUAAACCAACUUGUUACAAAGUUCCCGAAAAUCACUGUGGGGAAAAAAAAAAAUCACUGAGACAUGUUCUGCACUUAAAAGAAUACCUUCUACUCAGCAACCUUAAGACCCAGGCUGGCUGUGCUCAGACCUUUUUUGUUUGGCUGGUUUUCGGUGGUAGGUACUGGGGUUUGAAGUCAGGCCUAGCACUCCUUUGGCUCACUUGCUGAGGCUGGAGCUCGGGUCCAAUAUAUGAAAUCUUGUUUUGUGGGUUUUUUUCCCUGUUAUCUGAGCCUCUGAAAAUUUUAAUUAGAUUUUGUUUUAGUUAAAAUUUGAUAGGUUCAAAAACACUGUACCUGCAUUGUUUACUAGAAAGUUUCCAGAUAUAGUUAUUCUUUUUUAACAGCUCUUGUAUUUUUUCGGAAUACAUUUAUUUACAGUGCUGUUAUUUUUACAUGUGAUAGUACAUAUUUA